GGCAAAAUGGAGCAUGAAACCGUAGAGGCUAAUUAAUUGUGUUUUUUGGUAAAAAUUACUUAUAUUGGAGGUAAAAUAUGGCUCCAGCAUGAGUUGAAAUCACGCCAUUCAAAAAAAAUAAUUGAAGGACAAAAUGGGAAUGCCCCAAUUGAAAUAUAUAUGGAGACAGCUCCGAAAUAACGUCUUCAACAAUCAAGAUGUGAAUCGAAUAUUGUAAGUACUGUAUCCUUAUUAUUUCAAUAAAUAAUACUCGUAUAAUCGUAAUGAUAAAAUUACUACGUUACUGUUUCACCAGAAGUUGCUUUUCAUGAAAAAACAUCGAAGAUUAACAUUUAUCGUUAGGGUAGAUUGCUGAUAUUUUUGCUUCAACAUUUCACUCCAAUCGUUAUGGUUAUUGUGAUUGACUAAUAUUUACGUGACUUUCCAUUUCACCUUUAUUAUAUUUCUCAAGAAGUAUUUAGGACUUAAUAAUAUUCAAUUGCUCCGAAAAAUAUUUUGGAGUGAUAGACUGAUGGUGUUUACGAAACAGGAAAUUAAAGGUUUUUUUUUGGGGGGGGGGGGUGAUGGAUUACGUGACUAUGGAAUAGUGUGAACACGAUUGGAACCCUUUAUUUUCAUUCUUAUAACAAAAAUAAUUACUCUUAAAUGUUAAUACGACUUGAUUCAUUAUCUACAAACGAUUUAUUAUCAACUACAUAAAAGAAAAACUAAAAAAGUAAUAUUUUUAAUAUUUUUCCAACUAAUUACAUUUUUUUUUUGAAUAAUAAAUAAUGAAGACUCUUAAAGGUUGCAAUGAAUCAAGCCGUAUGAACGGUUAAGAAUAACUAUUUCUAUUAUAAUAAUGAAAAUAAAGUUUUCUCAAUUUAUGUUCACACUAUUCCAUAGUCAAGUGAUCCAAUUGUGUUUCCCCCUCCUCCCCCCCGAAAAAAAAGAUUUGCACUUCAAUUUUCUGUUACUGUUAAUACAUCCGGCUGCAAGACAGAUUUUAAUCAGUGCGAUAAUGAUUGAAGAAGAAGACUGUUAAUAUGUACGUGAGCGCCAUGAGUAGAUUACUCCAAAAUAUUUUUCGUUGUAAUUAAAUAUUAAAUAUUAUUAAGUCCUAAGUACUUCUUGAAAAAUAUACAAAAGGUGACAUGGAAAGUCACGUAAAUAUUAGUCAAUUACAAUAACCAUAAAGAUUGAAGUGAAAUGUCGGAAUAAAAAUUUUCAUAGCAAUUUACCGUGGUGAUACAUUGUUAAUUUUCGAUGUUAUUCCAUGGAAAAAUAAAUUUCAGGUAGAAUAAUAACGGAGUAAUUUGAUCACUACGAUCAUAAGAGUAUUAUUUAUUGAAAUAACAAUGAUACAAUGUUUGCUAUCAACGCAGUGACGUUACUUCGGAGUUGUCCCCAUAAUAUGGAUAUUCAAUGAGAGGUUAUCAACGGAGAAGGUCUUUUUGUUCACGACAUUCAUCACUACUUUCCAUAUUUUUACACACGGAGUCAAUCACUGAAAAAUCAAAAAACAUGUCCUGCUGCUACCUCACAUCAUCGGACCCUCUAUGCUAAGGUCCCCUGAAUGAAUCUAAGUUGAACAAUUCACAGCAUAGUAACUGUUAUGGCUGAUGAGCGGAUACUGAGAUCUGGGGUCUGAUUCCGAUCGCUUGUGACACUGAGAAGCGAAAUGGGAGCUUUUGUUUUACUUUGUGUCAACAUAGUAAACAAAUGACAACUAUCUUACUUCUCACUGUCACAAGCGAUCGGAAUCGUGUCCCUGGUCGUGGAGACAUUACGCUUUCAUCGAAAACUUACGAUGUACGCUUUUUCUGUCUUUUACGAAUCUCGGAAAGGACUGCAAGCCCAGUGACUGUGCUUUCCCUACAGUCCCCUACAACGCCUUUCUGUAGGGUUCAGAGGACACCUCAACGGGGCACCUGCACGGAGUUGCCUCAUCCCCAGUCCUAAUUCCACCAGUGAUAUUGUCAGGGCCGAGCUUCUCCUAGAGCCCCUCACCAGGACCAAACUUCUCUAUAGGAUUUCAGCUAUCUCCUGAAAAACAACCCAAACAACAUAAACAUAGUCCACAAGACGUACAUCAAGUCCUUCAGCACGAUUCUCUCCUAUACUAUUUCGUUCAACCGAAUUCAAUGUCAUUCUGUUUGUCAAAUUCUUUGAAUUAAAAAAUUAAUCCAAUCCAA